rfam:Cavia porcellus supercont2_23 genomic scaffold, whole genome shotgun sequence.
GGGGAUUUAGCUGAGCAUCAUAAGCACCUGCCUUGCAAGCAGGAAGUAAUGAGUUUGAUCCCUG